rnacentral:rRNA from 1 species
GCGUGCGUGAAGAAGGCCUUAGGGUUGUAAAGCGCUUUCACCGGUGACGAUGAUGACGGUAGCCGGAGAAGAAGCCCCGGCUAACUCCGUGCCAGCAGCCGCGGUAAUACGGAGGGGGCAAGCGUUGUUCGGAAUGACUGGGCGUAAAGGGCGCGUAGGCGGACGUGCAAGUUGGGGGUGAAAGGCCUGGGCUCAACCUGGGAACUGCCCUCAAAACUGUGCAUCUAGAGUUCGGAAGAGGAUGGCGGAAUUCCCAGUGUAGAGGUGAAAUUCGU